rnacentral:rRNA from 1 species
GGAUGCGAUCAUACCAGCACUAAAGCACCGGAUCCCAUCAGAACUCCGAAGUUAAGCGUGCUUGGGCGAGAGUAGUACUAGGAUGGGUGACCUCCUGGGAAGUCCUCGUGUUGCAUUCA